rnacentral:misc_RNA from 1 species
GGCAAGGAGGUAAAAAUGUGAAAAAAA